AACGAACGCUGGCGGCAUGCCUAACACAUGCAAGUCGAACGAAGCCUUCGGGCUUAGUGGCGCACGGGUGCGUAACGCGUGGGAAUCUGCCCUUGGGUUCGGAAUAACAGUUAGAAAUGACUGCUAAUACCGGAUGAUGUCUUCGGACCAAAGAUUUAUCGCCCAAGGAUGAGCCCGCGUAGGAUUAGGUAGUUGGUGGGGUAAUGGCCCACCAAGCCGACGAUCCUUAGCUGGUCUGAGAGGAUGAUCAGCCACACUGGGACUGAGACACGGCCCUGACUCCUACGGGAGGCAGCAGUGGGGAAUAUUGGACAAUGGGCGAAAGCCUGAUCCAGCAAUGCCGCGUGAGUGAUGAGGGCCUUAGGGUUGUAAAGCUCUUUUACCAGGGAUGAUAAUGACAGUACCUGGAGAAUAAGCUCCGGCUAACUCCGUGCCAGCAGCCGCCGUAA
rnacentral:rRNA from 1 species